rnacentral:rRNA from 1 species
AAUGAACGCUGGCGGAAUGCUUUACACAUGCAAGUCGAACGGCAGCACGGGUGCUUGCACCUGGUGGCGAGUGGCGAACGGGUGAGUAAUACAUCGGAACGUACCUUAUCGUGGGGGAUAACGCAGCGAAAGCUGUGCUAAUACCGCAUACGCCCUGAGGGGGAAAGCGGGGGAUCGCAAGACCUCGCGCGAUUAGAGCGGCCGAUGCCUGAUUAGCUUGUUGGUGGGGUAAAAGCCCACCAAGGCGACGAUCAGUAGCUGGUCUGAGAGGACGCGCGGACACACUCGGACUGAGACACGGCCCAGACUCCUACGGGAGGCAGCAGUGGGGAAUUUUGGACAAUGGGGGCAACCCUGAUCCAGCAAUGCCGCGUGAGUGAAGAAGGCCUUCGGGUUGUAAAGCUCUUUUGUCAGGGAAGAAACACCGGCUCUAACACAGUCCGGGAAUGACGGUACCUGAAGAAUAAGCACCGGCUAACUACGUGCCAGCCGCCGCGGUAA